GAAGUCUGAAGCUCAUUGUCAUUUGCAGUGCAUCCUAGCACCAUGCUGGUCAGCAAACUGAAAAAUGUCGUUUCAUGAAAUAGAAGAAACAAGAAUGGAUCUUUUCUGUAUCCAUAGAAAAAUUUUCCAUUUCACUUCAUGUCUAUUUCAAGAAAUUUGGUUGAAGGCUUCGAGGGAAAAUGAACCAAAUGACUUGAGUCUGGAGGUCUUCACAUUCCCCUUUUAGAAUCAGGGUUCACAGAUUACUUCUAAUUCUCUGGAGAAAUAAUGAGCACCAUCUUGAAAUGAAAUAGACACGGCCUUCGGUAAUGCGCUGCGAUGCACUGCCCGCACGGUGGGGCUGAACGUGGUCCCUGGGAGCCAUGUGAACGAGGACCCACCACUGUCCUGGGUGCCUGGUUGGAAAGCGCCCCGUCCUCACGCCCAGCGUCACCAUGCCCCCUGGCUGAGCACAAGCGCCUUGCGCUCGGCGGGGCGAUGAGUCACGUAAGAGGACAAGCCUGCCCCUCCGAGCAGACGAAGGUGCUGGCCCCUGAAUGGGGCCGGAGGCGGGUGCUUUCCCUUGGCUGCUCCUUAUGCCUUAAAGACUCAGAGUUUUCUCCUCUCUUCUUUCUCAUGUCCCAAAUUCCCUGCAGUCUCAUUGCUUCGACUUUGUCACAAAACCAAGUCUAAAUCCAGAAAGGAUGAGAAUUUGUCCUCGGGGGCUUUGCGAUGAAGUAAGACCAACGGCAUUUCGCUCUCUGGCUCAGAGUUUACUUUCAGCAGGGAAAAUAACGCCUGCGGAUCCCCGCCUGGCUCCAGCAAACAUAAACUGUGUCUCUGAGAAACAACUGCUUGAUUAAUGCAGCCAAUUCCAGCAAACAACUUAAACCUUCACGGAGAAAAGGCAGCGAAGAUGCCUGUCUGACCAUCCAGGCCGAGCCAGCGCUGGGCCUGGGGGGCAGCUGCAUCAGCCCCGCUGGUGUCCUGCGCAGCCGGGCUGCCCCCGACAUCCGGGCACCUCCAGGCACGGUCACUGCAAACAGGAGGCUGUGCGUCCGGCCAGAGCCAGUAAAACGAGAGGGCUCGGAGCCCGUGAUGUGGCGUCGGGACAGCUCGAGCCUGGCGGUCACCACCGGCCUCCCAGCACUGUGUCUCCUCCCCCACGUGCCUCCCCCAGCACCCUGGGCACGGGAGGGCUGGCUCAGGGGAGGGGCUCGUCACAGAGCAGCCCGCCUGCCUCGUACUGGUCCGCCGGCUGGUCAUCUCCAGCGGCUUAGUUCUGGCCCUCACCAACUCUUCAGGACAGCUGUGGCUGCCUUGUUCACCUCUCUGUCUUCGUCUGUCGGCCUUCCAAACGUCUCCCGUGCAGGACAAGAGCGGUUUUCCAAGUGGAGGGUGACUGAAUGGCCAGGCGGCCUGGAACAAGCAAGGACGAGUGGGCCCUGCCCAUGGAGGCAGGGUUCCUACUGAGCAGACCCACAUCUUCACUUUGAGCAGAUGCAAAACCCCAAGGCAGCUCUGUCUUUGGAGUAAGCCUGUAACCUAGAGUGCUGUCCUCUACAAUUCCAAGGGGGUCAGGCAGAGACCCAGGGCUCCAAGCCUUAUAACCCCAGGCCCCACCAGCACCUCUCCUGGGUCUGCGGGAAGCAAAGCCUUCGGAAUUUCUCAAAGCAUUGUGUUUUCUAGCAACUCUACAUCCCCAGGGCCCUUGGAGCCUCCAUGGGACGUUAUGGCCUCUGAUAUCAUUCCAAUCUCCUUCCCUUAGGAACCUACCAACUCCCGGGCCUCAGGUGACACCCCUAUGGAGUCUGCAUCCCUGCCCUUGGAGUGUGAGCUAGGGCUGGAGGACUUGAGGAGUGGGCAACAAUUGCCAAGGGCCGUCGACUACAGUCCAAAUCCUCAGCUCAGGCCUCAGUGGAAGAGCAGACCAGAGGCCUGACAGGACACACGCACCCAGGCGCUAUUGCUUGAAACUGAAAUUAGUCAUGCUUUUGGUGUUAAGAAAAUAACAAUAAAAUUAUAUCAAAUGUUCAAAAAAAUUAAGGUAACAACAAAAAAGAUAAAUAAAAUUUCUUUAUGCGAAAUUUCUCAAGCCUUUAACAAGCCAGUGUACAUUAAGACUCACCAAGAAGAGGAUCUAGCAUGCAGUAUUUCACAGACUUACUCAGUGGGACUUUGGAAUGGGAUUCUAUUUCGCAGAAUCCACAUUGGAAAAAGUUGGGGUGGAUUAUUAGCUAUGAUAUGUACAGGGACAUCAGGAGGACAGAUAAGCCCCAAAUGUUUAUAAUAAUUCUGAAAAAAUUGGAAGCAAUCUUCAUGUCCUCUGGAAAACAGAUGAGCUCGUAUUAGAAUGUCACUCAGAAUAUGACCAUAGUCUACAUGGCAUAGAAACCAUAUAAGAAAUUAGGUACAUUUUAAAAAUUAGGAACAAAGCUUGUGAGUGAUGAUUAUAAUUAUUUCUUAAAAACCAAACACAGCAUCCGGCUGUCAGAGGGGCACUGAAGCUGGGACUUGUCCUCCUGCCGUCAGCGAGUGAAACUGGACAGACUGUAUGAAGCAACUGUUUUCAGAUUUUGGAGACCAGGAAGUGAAAGACUGUGGUCCCUGAGAGACAGGAAACAAACGAGAUGGAUGCAAAAUUUCCUAGACUUACUUCCAGGAGGCAAACUGCAGACUGUAAUGCAGAGAGAAGAACCCCUACCAGAGCAAGGCUGUACCACUGGGUGGAGGGAACUGAGGACUUUGCAAGGCCGAGUACUGGAGAGGGGGAAACCAUGCAGAGAAAGACCUCAGGAUCCUGCUAAGUGUCCCCUCAAGUCACUGGAUGAACACCACUCUGCACAUGCACAGAGUGAAGCUCUAUGCGGAUGGAUGAAGAAGAGCCUCCAGGUGCAGAAAAGGCAACAGGAACCUGUAAGUUCGAACAAACCCCCGGGGUUUCUCAGACAGCAGAGCCAGAAACCUUUUGACUUGCCGCCAGCCAGAGAGGAGAGACCUUGUCAAACACACAGGGUCUUCAACAGAGACGUCAGAAGGGCUGUGCCACAGCGGCGGGCCAAACUAGCCCUGGAAGAAAACGCUAAAAAAGAUCAAAUGCACACUUCAAAACCAGCGGAUGAGUCACAGAUAACUUAACUGUCUGCCAGCGCAAAGCCUAGCAGUCUCAAAAACAACAAAGAAACAAAAAACCCUAAACUAAAAAAAAAAAAAAAAAAAGACAACGUUUGGGUGUCUAUUUUAAAAUUACUAGACACAUUACAAAGCAGGAAGCUGUAACACGUAUAAAGAGAGAGCUCUGUCAAUAAAAACAAAACCAGAUUAUCAAUAUUAUGAAGAUGGUAAAAUGAGAAGAAAGUAAUUUCAAAGCAUGUAUGUAUAUAUGCUUUGAAAUAUACAUGUAUAUACGUAAUAUGCUCAAUGGUUGAAGGGAAAACACGAAUUUAAGGAAGAAAGAAAUAAAAAAUACAAAAAGAAUUAAAUGGAAUUUCUACAGAUAAAUAGCCCUGAAAUAUAAAUUUUCAUUGGCUUGGGUUAAGAGAAUAUUAAACAUUGCAAGAGAUCAGUGCACGUGAAGACAUGGCAACAGAACUACCCAUCACAAAGCAUACAGAAAAAACUGCAUGAAAAAUCAUAACCAGAUUCCGAGUGACCUGUGAGACAACAUUAAGCCACCUAACAUGGAAUAAUCAGAGUCAGAAAAGAGAGAGAGAAGGAUCAGAAAUAAUACGUGAGGAAAUGGGCGGAAGUAUUUUAAAUUUGAUGAAAACUGUAACCCACAGAUCCAAGUAGUCCAAUAAGCCCUGUUCUGAAUAAACACAAAGAAAACCACACCAAAGCACAUCACUGUAAAAUUUCUGAAAACCAGUGAUAAAGAGAAAAGCCUUAAAAGUAGCCAGAGGUUCAAGAGAAAAAGUACAUUACAGACAAAGAAACAAAGACGUUUUGUUAGCAACUAUACUGAGGGCAUUAUGUUGAGUGAAAUAAGUCAGAGAAAAGACAAAUACUGUAUGAUCUCACUUACACGUGGAGUCUAAAA